rnacentral:tRNA from 1 species
GGGCCCGUAGCUCAGCCAGGCAGAGCGGCGGACACCCCUUUGACCCGUAGGUCGGGGGUUCAAAUCCCCCCGGGCCCACCA